UGAGGAAUAUUGGGCAAUGCCCGAAAGGGUGACCCAGCAACGCCGCGUGGAGGAUGAAGGUCGUAAGAUUGUAAACUCCUGUUAGAGGGGAAGAAUAACUAAGUUUGGAGCUUAGUAUGACUGUACCCUCAGAGAAAGCCCCGGCUAACUACGUGCCAGCAGCCGCGGUAAUACGUAGGGGGCAAGCGUUGUCCGGAUUUACUGGGUGUAAAGGGCGCGCAGGCGGAAUGGAAAGUCAGUGGUGAAAUCCUACAGCUUAACUGUAGAACUGCCUUUGAUACUUUCAUUCUUGAGUUCGGGAGAGAGAGACGGAAUUCCAGGUGUAGUGGUGAAAUACGUAGAUAUCUGGAAGAACACCCGUUCCGAAGGCGGUCUCUUGGUCCGAUACUGACGCUGAGGCGCGAAAGCGUGGGGAGCAAACA
rnacentral:rRNA from 1 species